UUUUGAAUUCAUUUAAGUUUUACAUAAGUAAAAAGUGUGAUUGUUUUUGUAACUUAUUAUUACCUAUCAAAAAAUUGUUUUUUACUGACCUUUACAAUAAAUUGCUUCUACAAAACUCUAUUUAAGUAUUUAUAUCCAAAGUAAAAUGUCACGACCCGCUCACAUGCUGCAGCAGAACAACGACAUCCUUGCUCAUUGUCACCUGUACCGGACCAGUUUCGGAUUUCUUUGGAGUUUUUGGGGGCUUUAUACAACGUGCAACACAUAAGACCAUCAGAUCUACUGAUCUGGAGCGGCUGGUCAACGCAUCAAGAACUUUUAUUGGAACUGAUACAGGAUCCAAGUACCUCUGUGGUAACUCUGAGAUGCCUCAUUGAAUACAUGGGAGAGAGUGGGCAAGAGCUCAUCUCUGACUACUAUGUAAGUAUUGUUUAAAAAGCAUAGUUUGACUUUUUUUUAGGAAAAGCACUUAUUCCUCAGAUACUGUAUCAAUCUUAUGUCUGUCUAAGUUAUAGUACGGAGCUAGAGUUGGGGAUUGGUUAGCUUGUCUGAGAACAAAUACUGUAAUUGGGUGGAAAUAGCUAGUCUGGCUCUGUCAAAGGUUCAAAAACACACCUACAAACACCCAAAUGUAUGUGCAGGAACCAGGGUCCAAAAUUAACCUUUUGGUCUUCCAGUUGCUUGUAGACUUGAUUUAAAAAAUACUGUCAUAU